GAUGAACGCUGGCGGCGUGCUUAACACAUGCAAGUCGAACGAAGCACCUUAUUCUGAUUUCUUCGGAAUGAAAAAUUUGGUGACUGAGUGGCGGACGGGUGAGUAACGCGUGGGUAACCUGCCUCAUACAGGGGGAUAACAGUUAGAAAUGACUGCUAAUACCGCAUAAGACCACAGCACCGCAUGGUGCAGGGGUAAAAACUCCGGUGGUAUGAUAUGGACCCGCGUCUGACUAGGUAGUUGGUGGGGUAACGGCCUACCAAGCCGACGAUCAGUAGCCGACCUGGGAGGGUGACCGACCACAUAAGGACUGAGACACGGCCCAAACUCCUACGGGAGGCAGCAGUGGUGAAUAUGGCACAAUGGGUGCAACCCUGCUGCAGCGACGCCGCGUGAAGGAAGAAGUAUUUCGGUAUGUAAACUUCUAUCAGCAAGGAAGAAAAUGACGGUACUUGACUAAGAAGCCCCGGCUAAAUACGUGCCAGCCGCCGCAGUAA
rnacentral:rRNA from 1 species